UACGUAGGGUGCGAGCGUUAAUCGGAAUUACUGGGCGUAAAGCGUGCGCAGGCGGCCCCGCGAGGUGUCACGUGAAAGCCCCGGGCUCAACCCGGGGAGGGUCGUGGCAAACCGGCGGGCUUGAGGCCGGUAGAGGUGGGUGGAACUCCUGGUGGAGUGGUGAAAUGCGUAGAGAUCAGGAAGAACACCCGUGGCGAAGGCGGCCCACUGGGCCGGUACUGACGCUGAGGCACGAAGGCGUGGGGAGCGAACGGG
rnacentral:rRNA from 1 species